CCCUUCUUUGAGGGUCAUUUUGGCCUCCGUGUCCGUGGGAGGCGUCCGCUCUUUGUUCUUAGCAGCUUCUUCCCACUCCCCGCCCGGGACGCUUUCUUUCCUCGGGUGUUUCAGCGAAGGGACAAGAGGGAAUAAAGGCGGAGCAGCAGACGGGCUGAUCGCUGCAGAAGCCGACCGCUUGUGCCCCGUGGGAGUGAAUGCAGAACCGAUUCUGUCCCUGUGCUGCUGUGGGGUCUAGUUUGAGGCCAUAAGAAGGAUAAAGCAUCACUUUUUCAAAAGCCCCUGUCCGCAACAUGAAUUCUGCUAAAAUUGAAAUAAGAACAAAUAUCAAAUUUAUGGUGAAGCUUGGGUGGAAGAAUGGUGAAAUCAUUGAGGCUUUACGCAAAGUCUAUGGGGACAAUGCCCCCAAGAAGUCAGCAGUCUACAAAUGGAUAACCCGUUUUAAGAAUGGGCGAGAUGAUGUUGAAGACGAAGCCCGCAGUGGCAGGCCAUCCACAUCAAUUUGUGAGGAAAAAAUCCACCUUGUCCGCGCCCUAAUUGAAGAGGACCGGCAACUGACAGCAGAAACAAUAGCCAACACCAUAGACAUCUCCAUUGGUUCAGCUUACACCAUUCUGACCGAAAAACUCAAGUUGAGCAAACUUUCCACUCUCUGGGUGCCCAAACUACUGCGCCCAGAUCAGCUGCAGACCAGAGCAGAGCUUUCAACGGAAAUUUUAAACAAGUGGGACCAAGAUCCGGAAGGAUUUCUCCGAAGAAUUGUGGCAGGAGAGGAAGCCUGGAUUUUUCCAUACAAUCCGUAAGACAAAGCACAAUCAAAGCAGUGGCUACUAAGAGGUGGACAUGGUCCAGACAAAGCAAAAACUGACGAGUCAAAAGCAAAGGUCAUGGCAGCUGUUUUAUUUUUUUGCUAAAGGCAUUUGUUUUUUUGACUUUUUGGAGGACCAAAGAAAGAACAUGUGCUUAUUGGGUGCGUUUUGAGAAAGAUAGCCAAAGCUUUUUAACAAGAAAAGGCCCAGGAAAACUUCACCAGAGAACUCUUCGUGACAAUGCUUCUUUCUACUCAUUCUCCUCAUCUAACAAGGGCAAAUGUUCUUGAAUUUCCAUGGGAAGUAAUUUGCCAUCAACUUCACAGUCUUGAUUUUGCUCUUUUUUGUUUCCCAGUCUUAAAAGAACACCCAUUUUUCUUAGUUAAUAAUGUUUUUUUUUUUUUAAAAGGCUGCAUUAACAUGGUUAAAUUCCCAGGACUCUCAGUUCUUUAGGGAUGGACUAAAUAACUUGUAUUACUUUUAAAAGUUCUUGAACUUGAUGAAGAACUUGAACUUAUCUUGAGAAAUAAAUGUAUCUUUUUUUAAUUCCGUCUUUCUUUGAACUUUCUGAAAUCCCUUUAUAUGUAAGUAUGAUCUAAAAGUUAUUUGAUUUUUCUUUUUCCUUAACUAUGGGCUCAGUAGUCAUAAUUUAAUGAAGACUUCAGACUUUGAAGUUAUGAGAGUAAAUUUAUUGAAAGGAAGUAAUAUGUACACAACAGUGACCUUUCUCUCAUAACAUAUAUUGAGCAAUGACUAUUCCAGGCCUUCGGCUAAGUUUUGGAAACACAGAGUCAUUUGUAAGGCAGUUUUUGUCCGCAAAGCUGUGGAAAAUUUAAAAGGUCAAAGAAUAACUUUGGGUCAUGGAGUUCAAAAUUUUCGACUUUGAAAAUCUGACUAAGAAUACUUGGAAUUUUUAUGAGACUGCUCAUAAUGAGAAGUGGAAACUAUUUGCAGAGCCUCAGACAGACAUUGAAAAUGAUUAUAGAAGGCAAAGCUAAAUUAAUCAUACUUGUCAACAUCUGCCUUGCCUUAGGGGAAAUCAAAUCACAUCUCUGGCAUGCUGUGUGGACUAAUUGUAAAUGUCACACAUGAGGACAACCAUAAGAUGGAUUCAAAAGCACUUUGUAACAAUUCGCAUCUGUAUUUCCAGGGUAAAAUGUGAGUUUUACCUUGAGUUUUGUUUUUCAAUUGGUUUGUAACUUGUUUCAUGGUAGUUGUAUUCUAUGCCAGAAAUGUAAGAAAGGAGAAAAACCAAAGGUACUUACCUAGGAAAUAAAAUUAAGUAGUAAAGUCUAUAAAACAUUGGUAGACAUUAGAAAAUUGUCAGGAAAAAUCUUAAUAUUUUCAGCACCUGCUCUGUGGCACAUCUUCACCGGCUGAGGUCAGGGACCACCGUGUCCUGUUGUAUUUACGGUUAAGUUCACAAGCAUAUUAGAAUGGUGCCUUGCCCAUGGCAGCAUCUUCAUAAGUGGUAGCGCUUGCUAUUAAUGCUGGAUACAUGUAGUGAAUGAAAAUGUAUGUAGUUCUCACUAUGAGGUAGGAAUUAAUACUGUCAUGCUUUGUCCACUAUAUAUGUGGGUGUAUAUGUGUAGCGAAAACGUGUAUGUUUUUGCCACAGUCAAAAUCUGUUGACUUCAGAAGCAUCUUCUUGAAACCGUUGCCCCUUGCUGCUGAGCACAGCAAGCACCUGCUUGGUGGAAUCUUCUUCAGAAAGGGUACAGUGUAAAGAAUUGUGAGAAAAGUUUGAGUUGAAGACAAACACUGGUCAACAAUAAUGUAAAAAUCUGAAGUAUCUUGAUUAUCCCCAAUUCUUUGGGCUACAUUUCUUGGCCAAAUGCAUUGCCCCACACAGCUUCCAAACACAUUUAUUUUACUUGUCUUGUAAAUACUAUCUUUUUUUUUUAAUACUAUCAUUUUUAAAAGAUGAUUUCCCAUGUCUGUCAUGUAUGAGUCACAGUCCACUCAGUGGCAGUGAGUUGUUGUUUUUUUUGAAUCAUCUAGUUAUCUAUGUGAUUGCUGAAAUUCAUACGACUCCAACCCCUGGUUUCUGCCUGAAAGGGAUACAGAGAGUCCAUGAGACAGGCAGAUAAUCAAGGGUAUUGCCAAGCAGUUGUACCGAACGCAUUACUUUGUUGAAGUGUUUAGAGCUUACUUUUAAUAGCUGUUCACUUAAAGGAUACACAAGUGGUUGGUAAAUAAGUAAAGAUGCUUCACUCCUUUGCAUGGUAGAUAAAUCAUCUUGAGAUACCAUUUUCACCUGUCAGACUAGCCAAAUAAAGUUUCCCAAAAUGCUCUGGUGAUGAAAUGGACCUUCUUAAGACAUUCACUUUAGGAAAGAAGUGAAUUGACCCAGUUUCUAUGGAACACCAUUUGGCAGUAUCUAUCAAAGGUACAGAGCCCAUUCCUUUUGAUGGAGCACUGCCAGGAUUUUUAGCCAACCACUCUGCAUAUGCACAGAGGAUUUCUAGGAGUGACUUGUUGCUAUGGUGAAGUUUCUAAAAGGAAUGGCAAUGAUUAAAUUGUAUAACAUGUGAAGUAUAUCCCAAUGUUUUUUAAAAGUGGCAUAUCCACUCAAAAAGCUACGGUUUUACAGGAGGAAGCUCGUGAUGUGCUGACAGAAAUAUUAUUUGGUAGUUACGUUCACUCUACAGACAAUAUUGUGUAAUCUUUUCAUAGUAAGAAAAACAUUUGUAUUUACUAGUUUAUGUAUAAAGAAGUCUCGCAAAGCUUCUGUCAUGGGUUGAAUUCUGUCUCCCAGAAAUAGGUGUCAAAUUGCAUGGGCCAUGAUUCUCUGUGGUUUGGCAGUUAGGUGAUGGUGUGAUGUGGCAGUUAUGUGAUGAUUCCCUGUGAUGUGAUCUGAUGUAAUAAGCCAAGAAAUUGAUUAAGGGUGGGAUGCACCACCAAGAAAGGAGGGCCAGGUGUGGAGUGCUGGCUUUGGACCUCGGUUCCCUGUACUGUGAAGCUCCUGGAUCCAGGGAAAGAUUGAUGUCAGAACACUUGGGAGAUCUCUCAGAAGUGUUGGACCUCCAGAUCCUGAAAGGAGACCAUGAACUUUUCUUCAGAGCUGACAGAAAGCCUUCACCGAGAGCUGGCGCUCUAAAUUUGGUUUGGGGCCUCCUAAACUGGAGAAUCAAUGUUUGUUAAAGCCGUGCACUUGCAGUAUCUCUUGCUACAGCAGCACUUGAUUAAUGAAAGCUAGUAACGGUAGUCAAGUUGUUAAGAGCAUUCUGUUUUAUUAAGAGACCUUUUACUUUGUGCUUUUUAUAUUUUAGCAUUAUGAAUAUCCCUUACAUAAAUAAAACUGAAUUUCAAAAAUA